rnacentral:rRNA from 1 species
GUAAAAAGUAGAAUAAUAGAUUUGAAAUAUUUAUUAUAUAGAUUUAAAGAGAUAAUCAUGGAGUAUAAUAAUUAAAUUUAAUAAAUUUAAUAUAACUAUUAAUAGAAUUAGGUUACUAAUAAAUUAAUAACAAUUAAUUUUAAAACCUAAAGGUAAACCUUUAUAUUAAUAAUGUUAUUUUUUAUUAUUUUUAUAAUAAGAAUAAUUAUUAAUAAUAAUAAACUAAGUGAACUGAAACAUCUAAGUAACUUAAGGAUAAGAAAUCAACAGAGAUAUUAUGAGUAUUGGUGAGAGAAAAUAAUAAAGGUCUAAUAAGUAUUAUGUGAAAAAAAUGUAAGAAAAUAGGAUAACAAAUUCUAAGACUAAAUACUAUUAAUAAGUAUAGUAAGUACCGUAAGGGAAAGUAUGAAAAUGAUUAUUUUAUAAGCAAUCAUGAAUAUAUUAUAUUAUAUUAAUGAUGUACCUUUUGUAUAAUGGGUCAGCAAGUAAUUAAUAUUAGUAAAACAAUAAGUUAUAAAUAAAUAGAAUAAUAUAUAUAUAUAAAAAAAUAUAUUAAAAUAUUUAAUUAAUAUUAAUUGACCCGAAAGCAAACGAUCUAACUAUGAUAAGAUGGAUAAACGAUCGAACAGGUUGAUGUUGCAAUAUCAUCUGAUUAAUUGUGGUUAGUAGUGAAAGACAAAUCUGGUUUGCAGAUAGCUGGUUUUCUAUGAAAUAUAUGUAAGUAUAGCCUUUAUAAAUAAUAAUUAUUAUAUAAUAUUAUAUAAAUAUUAUAUAAAGAAUGGUACAGCAAUUAAUAUAUAUUAGGGAACUAUUAAAGUUUUAUUAAUAAUAUUAAAUCUCGAAAUAUUUAAUUAUAUAUAAUAAAGAGUCAGAUUAUGUGCGAUAAGGUAAAUAAUCUAAAGGGAAACAGCCCAGAUUAAGAUAUAAAGUUCCUAAUAAAUAAUAAGUGAAAUAAAUAUUAAAAUAUUAUAAUAUAAUCAGUUAAUGGGUUUGACAAUAACCAUUUUUUAAUGAACAUGUAACAAUGCACUGAUUUAUAAUAAAUAAAAAAAAUAAUAUUUAAAAUCAAAUAUAUAUAUAUUUGUUAAUAGAUAAUAUACGGAUCUUAAUAAUAAGAAUUAUUUAAUUCCUAAUAUGGAAUAUUAUAUUUUUAUAAUAAUAAUAAAAAUAUAAAUACUGAAUAUCUAAAUAUUAUUAUUACUUUUUUUAAUAAUAAUAAUAUGGUAAUAGAACAUUUAAUGAUAAUAUAUAUUAGUUAUUAAUUAAUAUAUGUAUUAAUUAAAUAGAGAAUGCUGACAUGAGUAACGAAAAAAAGGUAUAAACCUUUUCACCUAAAACAUAAGGUUUAACUAUAAAAGUACGGCCCCUAAUUAAAUUAUAUAAGAAUAUAAAUAUAUUUAAGAUGGGAUAAUCUAUAUUAAUAAAAAUUUAUCUUAAAAUAUAUAUAUUAUUAAUAAUUAUAUUAAUUAAUUAAUAAUAUAUAUAAUUAUAUUAUAUAUUAUAUUUUUAUAUAUAAUAUAUAUAAUAUAAACUAAUAAAGAUCAGGAAAUAAUUAAUGUAUACCGUAAUGUAGACCGACUCAGGUAUGUAAGUAGAGAAUAUGAAGGUGAAUUAGAUAAUUAAAGGGAAGGAACUCGGCAAAGAUAGCUCAUAAGUUAGUCAAUAAAGAGUAAUAAGAACAAAGUUGUACAACUGUUUACUAAAAACACCGCACUUUGCAGAAACGAUAAGUUUAAGUAUAAGGUGUGAACUCUGCUCCAUGCUUAAUAUAUAAAUAAAAUUAUUUAACGAUAAUUUUAUUAAAUUUAGGUAAAUAGCAGCCUUAUUAUGAGGGUUAUAAUGUAGCGAAAUUCCUUGGCCUAUAAUUGAGGUCCCGCAUGAAUGACGUAAUGAUACAACAACUGUCUCCCCUUUAAGCUAAGUGAAAUUGAAAUCGUAGUGAAGAUGCUAUGUACCUUCAGCAAGACGGAAAGACCCUAUGCAGCUUUACUGUAAUUAGAUAGAUCGAAUUAUUGUUUAUUAUAUUCAGCAUAUUAAGUAAUCCUAUUAUUAGGUAAUCGUUUAGAUAUUAAUGAGAUACUUAUUAUAAUAUAAUGAUAAUUCUAAUCUUAUAAAUAAUUAUUAUUAUUAUUAUUAUUAAUAAUAAUAAUAUGCUUUCAAGCAUAGUGAUAAAACAUAUUUAUAUGAUAAUCACUUUACUUAAUAGAUAUAAUUCUUAAGUAAUAUAUAAUAUAUAUUAUAUAUAUAUUAUAUAUAAUAUAAGAGACAAUCUCUAAUUGGUAGUUUUGAUGGGGCGUCAUUAUCAGCAAAAGUAUCUGAAUAAGUCCAUAAAUAAAUAUAUAAAAUUAUUGAAUAAAAAAAUAAUAUAUAUUAUAUAUAUUAAUUAUAAAUUGAAAUAUGUUUAUAUAAAUUUAUAUUUAUUGAAUAUAUUUUAGUAAUAGAUAAAAAUAUGUACAGUAAAAUUGUAAGGAAAACAAUAAUAACUUUCUCCUCUCUCGGUGGGGGUUCACACCUAUUUUUAAUAGGUGUGAACCCCUCUUCGGGGUUCCGGUUCCCUUUCGGGUCCCGGAACUUAAAUAAAAAUGGAAAGAAUUAAAUUAAUAUAAUGGUAUAACUGUGCGAUAAUUGUAACACAAACGAGUGAAACAAGUACGUAAGUAUGGCAUAAUGAACAAAUAACACUGAUUGUAAAGGUUAUUGAUAACGAAUAAAAGUUACGCUAGGGAUAACAGGGUAAUAUAACGAAAGAGUAGAUAUUGUAAGUUAUGUUUGCCACCUCGAUGUCGACUCAACAUUUCCUCUUGGUUGUAAAAGCUAAGAAGGGUUUGACUGUUCGUCAAUUAAAAUGUUACGUGAGUUGGGUUAAAUACGAUGUGAAUCAGUAUGGUUCCUAUCUGCUGAAGGAAAUAUUAUCAAAUUAAAUCUCAUUAUUAGUACGCAAGGACCAUAAUGAAUCAACCCAUGGUGUAUCUAUUGAUAAUAAUAUAAUAUAUUUUAUAAAAAUAAUACUUUAUUAAUAUAUUAUCUAUAUUAGUUUAUAUUUUAAUUAUAUAUUAUCAUAGUAGAUAAGCUAAGUUGAUAAUAAAUAAAUAUUGAAUACAUAUUAAAUAUGAAGUUGUUUUAAUAAGAUAAUUAAUCUGAUAAUUUUAUACUAAAAUUAAUAAUUAUAGGUUUUAUAUAUUAUUUAUAAAUAUAAUAUAAUAAUUAUUAUUAUUAAUAAAAAAAAUAUUAAUUAUAAUAUUAAUAAAAUACUAAUUUAUCAGUUAUCUAUAUAAUAUCUAAUCUAUUAUUCUAUAUACU